AGUUUGAUCAUUGAACUUUGGCUACAACUGUGGAUGAAGUGGAGUUGUAAGUUCUGCAGUUUUGCUACUUACAGUGAAAGAACAAUAGUAAGCCAUUACAAAAGAAGUCAUGAACAUGGAAGGCGGGGCUUGAGUUGCAUUUACCCCAACUGUCUAACUUUGCUCCAGUCGCACGUGGAAUUUGCUAAACAUAUCAAAGAACAUAAAAAAGGAUUAAAGUUAGUUGCUAAACUGCGUUGUGAGCUUUGCACUUUUUCAGCAGCAACAAACAUCUGGAAAGAAGCAGGCCCUUAAACGCAUUUUGGACUGCCUUGUGAGGGAUGACACAAAUGACAGGAAAAGGGCUGCUGCUCUACUUGGUCUGCCACAAUACAUAUAAGGCGAAGAUCCAGCAAAUGUAAUCAGGAUAUGUGAUGCUCACGUUGAGAUUCUGGAAGAAGCCAUGAAGGGGAUGCAACUUGGCCUCCUGAUAGGUUGUGAGAGUGGUGAACCAGGUGCUAUCCCACGCGAGGUCUUUGAUGUGGCAGUUGUUGUUGAAGAGACCAUUGUUCUUCACAACAUUAAAGAUGUUGUAGUUGCAUUUUCAUUGCUUAUGGGUGUAAUCUAUUGCAUGAAUCUUGAGUAUCCGUAUGCCAUGAAGUGUACAUUUGAGUUUCUUCAGAGAGUAGUUAUGAAGAUCAAACCAGACCAAGCUUCAGCCAGAGUCCAUGGACUAAGGGACAAACCUCUGAGGUACAAACUGUAACAUCUGUCUGCGCUGACAGUCUUAAUUUUGUUUGACUAAGAAGUUAUAGUAAGUUUUCUUUCUUCAGACAGACUUACUUUAUUUUGUAUGUUGUAUGUUAUUUAAAAGUUCAAUGCACUUUAAAAUGUUGGCAGACUCUGCACUGUUGAAACUGUUUUUGAAUGGUAGAAGACAGUUCUAUUCAGUCAUAUGAUUUUUCAUCACAUUUUCAACAUUUUCAAAAAACCAAACUCUUCAUGUAUUUGGUACAUUAAAAAAGAAAUUCAGGGAGAUAUAAUAUCUAUAUAUAGAUAUAUACAUAUUUAGAUAUAUACAUAGAUGGAUAUAUAUUUCUAUAUAUAAAGAUAUAUUUAGAUAUAUAUGUUUAUUUUUUUAGUCUGACAAGUACUGACUACAACAUGGCAUGGGUUCUUCAUCCCCAUGGUCCAAUUUUGUUUAC